rnacentral:lncRNA from 1 species
UAUAAGUAGAAGAAAGUAGCUGGAGAAGGAAGGGACCAAGAUCAUAGCCCAAGCUUGCAAGACAGCAUUCUUCGUAGGCUUCAAGAAGUACAAGUCCAUUGCCCAGGUGCACCUCCCUCCUGACUUCAUCAAGCAUCUUCAAAUCGAUUGUUUGGACGAAGAUUUAUAGGCGGUAUCGUCGGAUAACUGGUCGAUGUUUAUAAUGACAUCUUACUUUUCGGACAAGGUGGAUAAGAUCGAUGCAGCCGUCCAGACCGAAGGUAUCAUCGGCGCUAAGGAAUACCAUCCCA